CAUUAAGAAGCUAAGACAAAGCGUUAGUCUUUUAAACUAAUAUCGGUGAUAUUAACCCUUAAUGA
rnacentral:tRNA from 1 species